AUUGAACGCUGGCGGCAUGCCUAACACAUGCAAGUCGAGCGAGCGGCGGACGGGUGAGUAAUGUCUGGGAAACUGCCUGAUGGAGGGGGAUAACUACUGGAAACGGUAGCUAAUACCGCAUACCAUCAGAUGUGCCCAGAUGGUAUUAGCUAGUCGGUGGGGUAACGGCUAACCUAGGCGACGAUCCAUAGCUGGUCUGAGAGGAUGACCAGCCACACUGGAACAGAGACACGGUCCAGACUCCUACGGGAGGCAGCAGUGGGGAAUAUUGCACAAUGGGCGAAAGCCUGAUGCAGCCAUGCCGCGUGUGUGAAGAAGGCCUUCGGGUUGUAAAGCACUUUCAGCGGGGAGGCGUUACCCGCAGAAGAAGCACCGGCUAACUCCGUGCCAGCAGCCGCGGUAAUAC
rnacentral:rRNA from 1 species